AUGAAGGAGAAAUAUCGCGGCAAGGAUCAAAUCCAUACUGCCAGUGGAGAAGGUAUGAGUAUACGUCACUUUGGUCACUCAAUAUUUCGUACCCCUCAUCGUAAUAUUCAUCUUAGAAAAAUUCUGCAUGUUCCUAGUGCCAACAAGAGUCUUCUUUCUGUCCAUCGAAUUGCCCUUGAUAAUCAUGUAUUUCUUGAAUUUCACCCUUACUUCUUUUUGAUCAAGGAUCAGGCAACGAGGACGGUUCUCUAUCGAGGUAGAUGCGUCUGUGGCCUCUAUCCGUUGAUUCCGGAGUUUCGAAGACCAAAUAAAUAUGCUUGUGGUGCUAUCAAGCUUUCGUCCACACGAUGGCAUAAUCGUUUAGGACAUGCAUCUUUUUCUUUAGUUGAAAAAUUACUUAGGAAAAAUAAUCUCCCGUUUGUUGGUGAGCGUCAUAAUGAGACAAUUUGUGAUUCAUGUCAGAAAGCUAAAAGUCAUCAGUUUCCUUACCCUAUUUCUAGCAGUGUUUCUACCAAACCACUACAAUUGAUCUUUUCUGAUGUUUGGGGUCCUGCCCCUACUUCUGUUGGCAGACACAUUUAUUAUGUUAGCUUCAUCGAUGAUUUUAGCAAAUUUUCUUGGAUCUAUCUUUUAAAGAAACGGUCUGAUGUGUUUCAAGUGUUCAAAAACUUUCAAGCUCUUGUUGAGCGAAAAUUUGACAGCAAAAUCAUCGCUGUCCAGUCAGACUGGGGAGGGGAGUACGAAAAGUUAAACUCCUUCUUCCAAACACUUGGUGUCUCACAUCAAGUGUCAUGUCCUCAUGCUCACCAGCAAAAUGGGUCAGCAGAACGCAAGCAUCGACAUAUUGUCGAGGUUGGCCUUGCCCUUCUAGCCGGCGCAUCCAUGCCUCUAAAAUUCUGGGAUGAAGCGUUUUUAAUCGCAGUCCAUAUCAUCAACAUGAUCCCUAGUCGUGUUAUUCAUAAUGAAACUCCGAUAGAAAGACCUCUCCACACCAAACUAGACUAUAAGUCCCUUCGUGUAUUUGGGUGUGCAUGUUGGCCUAACCUUCGUCCCUACAACAACCGCAAGCUCAUGUUUCGAUCAAAACAGUGCGUAUUUCUUGGUUAUAGCGCACAACACAAAGGUGUCAAGUGCUUAGAUGUUUCCACCGGGCGAGUGUACAUCUCCCGUGAUGUCGUUUUUGAUGAAACCAAGUUUCCAUUCACCGAUCUUCACCCAAACUCCGGUGCACUACUUCGAGAAGAAAUUCUCCUCCUACCCCCCAUCUCACUAGUUUUGACAAAGGGGGACUAA
rnacentral:rRNA from 1 species